UACUAAAAAGUUUUGCAUCUUUAGUAAAGCUACAUCAUCUUUUGAUUUCCCGUGGAUGCAAGUAUAUCUAGGGAGUGUGCGACCUAGAUUUCUACCGUACUUCCUCUUCUCUCUCAUUUUUCUCAUCAGAUCUCCCGUGACCUACAUAUUUGCAUGAACUCGGAUGUCUGGACGGCGGGGGCCGUUUGUUCUCUGUGUUCUCUCAAAUUUGUAGAACGGCGUCACUAUUCCCAAAAUUUCAGGUGUCCGAUUUCUGAUCAAAUGCAAGAACACGGCUGGACGAUUUUGCGAAUGCUGUGAGGAUGUAUGAUUGCUUUGAUCCCUGGGUUUAUACUUUUGUUUGCUCGAAACUUUUUUGCCUACCCUUCUCAGGUGGAAAUCAGACUGGAUCUUCAACUCUUAUUCAGAUCAUCGUGGGACAACUAUACAGCAGAACAGUGAUGGCUAUUGGUUAUGGAAACUAAAGGAGAUUAUCGUUGAUAGACUGACAUGAUGGUCACUUCCACUUUCAAGUUUCAUACUUACAGUAUUUGAUAUGAAAUUUACUCUUUUUCCUUCCACACUCAUUGCAGUUAAAAAUUCAAGGUUAUUGAGUGAGGAAAACUCAAUUUCUAUACUCUUGGCACACGUUCUUCUCGCUUUUGCAGUCCAAAAAACUAAGUAAUAAGGUCUGAAUCUUGCUUAGAACUCCAUUUACAUUUCCUUAAUGAACUUAAAGAUCAAUCUGCACAAAAAAAAAAAAAAAAAGUUCGAGGCAGGAUAGGCACUGCAAUUAACUAUAUCUUUGC